GACGAACGCUGGCGGCGUGCCUAAUACAUGCAAGUAGAACGCUGAAGGAGGAGCUUGCCCUUCUGGAUGAGUUGCGAACGGGUGAGUAACGCGUAGGUAACCUGCCUGGUAGCGGGGGAUAACUAUUGGAAACGAUAGCUAAUACCGCAUAACAGUAGAUGUUGCAUGACAUUUACUUAAAAGGUGCAAUUGCAUCACUACCAGAUGGACCUGCGUUGUAUUAGCUAGUUGGUGGGGUAACGGCUCACCAAGGCGACGAUACAUAGCCGACCUGAGAGGGUGAUCGGCCACACUGGGACUGAGACACGGCCCAGACUCCUACGGGAGGCAGCAGUAGGGAAUCUUCGGCAAUGGACGGAAGUCUGACCGAGCAACGCCGCGUGAGUGAAGAAGGUUGUCGGAUCGUAAAGCUCUGUUGUAAGAGAAGAACGAGUGUGAGAGUGGAAAGUUCACACUGUGACGGUAUCUUACCAGAAAGGGACGGCUAACUACGUG
rnacentral:rRNA from 1 species